ACGUAUGGGGCGAGCGUUGUUCGGAAUUAUUGGGCGUAAAGGGCGCGUAGGCGGUUUCGUAAGCUUGGUGUGAAAGGCUCCGGCCCAACCGGAGUUGUGCGCUGGGAACUGCGAGACUCGAGUUCUGGAGGGGAAGUUGGAAUUCCUGGUGUAGGGGUGAAAUCUGUAGAUAUCAGGAAGAACACCGGUGGCGAAGGCGAGCUUCUGGCCAGAAACUGACGCUGAGGCGCGAAAGCGUGGGGAGCGAACAGG
rnacentral:rRNA from 1 species